rnacentral:rRNA from 1 species
UACGAAGGGGGCUAGCGUUGCUCGGAAUUACUGGGCGUAAAGCGUGCGUAGACGGUCAUGUAAGUCGGGUGUGAAAGCCCCGGGCUCAACCUGGGAAUUGCAUUCGAGACUGCAUGGCUAGGGUGCGGAAGAGGGAAGCGGAAUUUCCGGUGUAGCGGUGAAAUGCGUAGAUAUCGGAAGGAACAUCAGUGGCGAAAGCGGCUUCCUGGUCCAGCACCGACGUCAGGCACGAAAGCGUGGGGAGCAAACAGGG